ACGAGGAUCCAUUGGAGAGCAAGUCUGGUGCCAGCAGUCGCGGUAAUUCCAGCUCCAAUAGCGUAUAUUAAAGUUGUUGCGGUUAAAAAGCUCGUAGUUGGAUCUCAGCACCUGCCGGACGGUCCGCCUACCGGUGGUCACUGUUCGCCGCAGUGCGUUUCUGUGGCUAUGCGUGAUGAUCUUCACCGGUUGUCUCGUGUGGCCGCAAAGUUUACUUUGAAAAAAUUAGAGUGCUCAAAGCAGGCGCGACGCCUGAAUAAUUGUGCAUGGAAUAAUGGAAUAGGACCUCGGUUCUAUUUUGUUGGUUUUCGGAACACGAGGUAAUGAUUAAGAGGGACAGACGGGGGCAUUCGUAUUGCGACGCUAGAGGUGAAAUUCUUGGACCGUCGCAAGACGAACUACUGCGAAAGCAUUUGCCAAGAAUGUUUCCAUUAAUCAAGAACGAAAGUUAGAGGUUCGAAGGCGAUCAGAUACCGCCCUAGUUCUAACCAUAAACGAUGCCAGCCAGCGAUCCGGCUGUGUUCCU
rnacentral:rRNA from 1 species